rnacentral:rRNA from 1 species
CCUACGGGCGGCUGCAGUGGGGAAUAUUGCACAAUGGGCGCAAGCCUGAUGCAGCCAUGCCGCGUGUGUGAAGAAGGCCUUCGGGUUGUAAAGCACUUUCAGCGGGGAGGAAGGCGGUGAGGUUAAUAACCUCAUCGAUUGACGUUACCCGCAGAAGAAGCACCGGCUAACUCCGUGCCAGCAGCCGCGGUAAUACGGAGGGUGCAAGCGUUAAUCGGAAUUACUGGGCGUAAAGCGCACGCAGGCGGUCUGUCAAGUCGGAUGUGAAAUCCCCGGGCUCAACCUGGGAACUGCAUUCGAGACUGGCAGGCUAGAGUCUUGUAGAGGGGGGUAGAAUUCCAGGUGUAGCGGUGAAAUGCGUAGAGAUCUGGAGGAAUACCGGUGGCGAAGGCGGCCCCCUGGACAAAGACUGACGCUCAGGUGCGAAAGCGUGGGGAGCAAACAGGAUUAGAUACCCUAGUAGUC